rnacentral:rRNA from 1 species
CUACGGGUCGCUGCAGUGGGGAAUAUUGGACAAUGGGGGAAACCCUGAUCCAGCAAUGCCGCGUGUGUGAAGAAGGCCUGCGGGUUGUAAAGCACUUUCGGUUGGGAGGACUGCUUCUAGCACUAAUAUUGUUGGAAGUUGACGUUACCUUCAGAAGAAGCACCGGCUAACUCCGUGCCAGCAGCCGCGGUAAUACGGAGGGUGCAAGCGUUAAUCGGAAUUACUGGGCGUAAAGCGCGCGUAGGCGGCUAGAUCAGUCGGGUGUGAAAGCCCCGGGCUUAACCUGGGAACUGCAUCCGAUACUGUCUAGCUUGAGUACAGGAGAGGGGAGUGGAAUUCCACAUGUAGUGGUGAAAUGCGUAGAUAUGUGGAGGAACACCAAUGGCGAAGGCAGCUCUCUGGCCUGAUACUGACGCUGAGGCGCGAAAGCGUGGGGAGCGAACAGGAUUAGAUACCCCGGUAGUC